GAGAAGAUAAAGUGAUGCUUUCUGCGUCCUUCUUUGUUGUCAGGGUGACCCAUCCUGGCUGCAUAGCAUCACGCAGGAGGAAGCCAGUGCUAAUGCAGGCUUGCCUGGCACCCUGAUUUCCAGCCAGAGUUGAUGAGGACUGCAUGCAAGAAAGACUAAUCCAGACUGUGUACUUAGCGAGCACGAUUAUUUAGGAAAAUAAGAAGCAGCCAUCAGAUGACCAAAAUUAAACUGUCAUUCUCCCAGGCUCCACCUGCACCCAGACUGCAGUCGCAAGGAUUCUCCACUCGAUGGCUGGUUGUGUCACUGCUAGUCGACAGCUGUCCCGCAUCCAGAGAGGACUGGGAUUGAUUUAGCCUUUACUCCUGCAGGUAGAGCAGCGUGGUGUCCGAAGCCCCCAAACUGCACACACGCAUGGUGGGAGACCAGCCGUACCCCAUCAGAGGCAGUUUGGUGACCAGGCUUGGAGCAGUACCUGCUCAGCUGAAUAUGCAUGCUAGAAGCCACCGUAAACAGCCAGACUGCAUCUCAGCUCCUGGCUAAAUAAAGGUUGUCCUGAAAUCACAUGCUCCCAAGGACUGAGGAAUGCUAAUUCUCAACUGCAAAUAUUGAUCAACAGACUAUAUAGCAAAGAAUAAGCAAAAAAAAAAAAGGGGGGGUGGGAAAAUGGACAAAACUCUUGAUCAAAGAAAGUCAAUCGAAAUCCUAUAUGGUUAAUAUAUUUCAGUUAAUUUGUUCAGAAGAUUAAGGUACAUCUUUUAUUUUUCUUUUGCAUUUUGGAAAGAGAAUCCAGUAAUAAUGUGGCUUUUAAUGCCUGUUUGAAUCUUAAAUGUCUCCCAGUUUUUUUUGUUUUGUUUUUUUUUUUUUUUUCUGUGUUAGGAAUCAAACUCAGGACCUCGUGCCCACCAGGGAGGCACGUAUGCCACUAAGCUAUAUCCCUGGCCUUGUCUUCCAAUUCUUGUUUACAGGGGAGGUCCACACCCACCCUGAUGGCACCAUUGGAUUGGGAUAGGGUGAAACAUUUAGGGAGUGGCCCUAGUAGCAGAGAGUGACAUCACUGGGGGCAUGUCCUUGUAGGGAAUACUGGGAAUUAGGUCCCUUUCUCUCAUCCUUGCUUCCUAGCUGCUAUGAUGGGAGUAGCUUGUUCUACCAUGUGUGCUGCCCGGGCAUAGGCUCAAAGUGACAGAGGCAGGUGACCAUGAACUGAUACUUCUAAAACCGUAAGCCAACAUAAAUCUUUCCUCCUUUCAGGUUAUUAAUCUUGGGUAUUUGUCACAGCUAUGGAACACCAACACAGUGCCAGUGCUAGAAACCUCUGUUUAGUUCAGAUCAGGGGAAACUUUUUCUUCCCAGCCCUCUGAACUCUGCAAUCUGAUUUUUUUUUAAGCCCGCAUACCCUGUGGCAGUCUUGUAUAAUCUGUAGCUCACUUCUCAAGAAUAUUUUUCUAUGUAGAUGUGGUGAAAAAAAUGGGAAAUUAAUCAUAUUAAAUGUCUUACUUAAGAACCUUCACCUUAGAAAAAGCAAAAAUACUUCCAAGAUGAAAUUGCAAAGUGAGUUUGGUUGUGUCUGCCGAGGAUUACCUGGUAAAGAAGCAAGUUCAAGGAGAAGCUAGAUAAGAUAAGGGGGUAGGGAGGGGAACAGAAAAAAUUUAUUGAAUCUGAUUUCUUAAAGUGGCCCUGGUGGGGACCAGCAGAUUCCCCUAUUCAUGUUUUUUAAAAACACUGUAUUUUCCACACUGAUUAAUUCACGUGGUGUAGAUACUUCUGACGGUCCUUGAAGGCAGGCAAAUGAAGGGAAUUGAAUCUUUCAGCUUAUACAGGUUUGGGAGGAAUUGAAACUCAAACAAAUUUGAAUUUUGUUGCAGUAUUUUCUAAGUGGCCAGGAAGUCUAGCACCCAAGUCUUCUAAACCCCAAUCAGGUACAUAUUUAUAGUCACUGAUGUGCUGGAGCCAGCUGAUGAUAUUAAUAUUCUCUAAUAUUCAGGAAUUUUACUCAGUACUAAACCAUUAGCAGCUUGAAGUCAACCAUACAGAAGAAUUUACACCACAGACACUGGCAAACUUUCCAGGUGUAGUGGCACACUGCUAUAAUCCUAGCACUUGGGAGGCGGAGGCAGGAGGAUUGUUAGAAGUUCGAGACCAGCCUGGGCUACAAAGUGAACUGAAGACCAGCCUGAAUUGCACAGUGAGGCCCUGUCUCAAAAAAAAAAAAAAAAAAAAAAAAGAAAGAAAGAAAGAAAAGAAAAGAAAAAAAGAGAAAAAGAAAUUGGCAAACUGUAAAUCAGGGGUGUUGCUUUUCUCAAAACAGCAGCUUUACAUGUUGUAAUAUAGUUAAUUAUGUCAAUUUGCCUCGUGUACUAAUUCGCCUUUAUUUGGAUCCUAUUAUCCAAAAUGCUGAAAUGGGUUAGUGUGAAGCUCUAAGGUCAAAAGGCCUGUUUUUGGUUCCUGCCUAUGCCACUGAUUAUGUGUGUGAUUUGAGGCAAGGUAAUUUACCUCUCUGGUAUUCAACUUCCUCUAUGUCAGACAGGACUAAAACACUGGUGCCAUUUAGUUUAUUACACGUGUGACAGGAAUUGGUGCAUGUAAACUACUUAGCUUGGAUCCUCACAAAUAUGAGAUCCCACUGGCUGUGUUAGGCAUGAUUACUUUCCUCUUUCUCUUCUUCUUAAUCCUCCUCCUUUUUCUUAUUCAUCUGUUCAGAAGGGCAGAUUGACAUUAUUUGUGCUGACAUUAAGGGAAAACAUUGUUGGGAGAGUAUAAGCAACAACAACACAAAAGGAAAUAAAACACCAUAUACAAACUACUUGAAUUCUAGAUCAUAAAAAUGUGGUUCCUAACUUUUCUGUGUUAUAGAGAUUUGAUAUGUUGUUGUUAUUUUUUGUAUAAAUUCUGUAUAAAUUUUUUGUAUAAAUAAGAGAACAACAAUUCAAGAUGGUAAUUAUUUGAUGGAUAUAAUUUCAGCAUGAUUUUAGAGAAACCAGAUUUUUUUUUUUGGUACUGGGGAUCAAACUCAUGACCUCACUCUGGGCCAGGCAGACGCUUACACCACUGAGCUAAAUCCCCAGCCCCUUAAUCCCCAGCCCCAACCAGAUUAAAACUAUAUAUUGUCAGAUUUCCAUUCUGCAUUUCAAAUCAGGCAACUUUGGGCCAAAGAUAUUAGGGACAAAAUUACUUCUACACUGAGCACAUACAGACUUUUUUCACAUCAUUACUCUAUAAAUAAUACAUAUUUCAACUAUUUACAUGGAAUUUACAUUUUAUUAGGCAUUAUAAGUAUUGUAAGCAUGACUUAAAAGCUAGAGAGUAUAUACUUCAGUUAUAUGCAAACACAUUGUCCAUACCCCAAAAUGCCAUCAAGUGUAACAGUAGAAGCUCUUUGUGACCAAGAGAUAUCAGCUUCCAAACUCCUGCAGAAAAUAAUUGUUUGAAAUCAAAUGCCAAUUCUGUGUAAUCACAGAACUUCAAAAACAAUAAAAACAUUGGCCAUUUACCAAGUGAUAUCAAUAUAGUCUAAAUUUUCUCCAAUCAUAAAUGGAAUAAUAUUGUCUUAAUUACUUUUCUCUCAUUGCUGAGACAAAAUACCCAACAAUCAAAAUUAAGGAAGGAAAGGUUCAUUUAGCUCACAGUUUGUGGAGGUUUCAGUCCAUAAUAAGCUGGCUCCAUGACAGGGUAGCAUGGCACAUGGACAAUACUUCAAGGAGGCAGAAAAUAACAAAAGCAGCGAGAGCAAAAAGGGGGAAGAACAAGCCUCUUCUCCUCUUUUAUAUUGUAAUCAGGCUACAACACAUCCCAAAGACAGGUAUAGCACUCACAUCCUUUCUGUGCCCUCUUCUUGCACAGGCUGAGGAUGUUUACAAAGUGAUGACCCUGGCUCCCUGAGUCACAUAGUUAAAUGUCUAAACUUUUCAAGUUGACAUAAUGUAUCAUUGAUAACAACCUACCCUUGUCAACUUGGCAACCAGACAUAUUUCUUUAAACUAGUUUCCAGAUACAAAGAUAUGCAUAUUCUUAACAUUUCAGAACUUGAACAUUAUAACAUAUAUUUAACAAUCCUUAAGAACCAAUGCUAAGUCUAUCAACAUUAUAUUACAUUAGAACCAUAACAUUUCACUCCUGGCCCCCCUCCCAAAGACUCAUGCACAUCCCUUUAUGCACUUAGUCCAUCUGGAAGACUUCUACGUGCAAAAGGCACUUAGUCCAUCUGGAAGAGUUGUCAAAGUCCUAAUAGUUUUAGCAUUGCUAAAAGGUCUAAGUUCCAAGUCUCCUCUGAGCUGUAAGGCAAACUCUUAGCUGCAAGCCCUUGUACAAAUGAAAAGUUAAACACUUCAGCAUUCAAUGGCACAAGAUAAACAUUUUCAUUACAAACAUUACAAACACAGGAAUUCAAAGGAUUUGGAACAAAACAAAUCCAAAAUCCAGCAGGGAAAAGUUAAGUCCUAUAGUUCCAUGUGCAGCAUCUAAAGCAAUUUAUGAGCUCCAAAGAACUUGCAUGGCUCCCUGUCUAUAGCACUUCUGGUGGUUAUAGCUCCCACAGCUUCUCUCUUAGGCCAGCUUUGCUCCCUCCUUGCAGCUUUCUUAGAUGACCCACAGUCCUGGCUUUUCCAAACUUCUGGAAUCUUAAAUGCACCUUCAGUUUCACACUCACAGCUUUACCCACUGCCAUCUCAGGGGCACGUUGCCUGGCCUCUCAGAUCUUCUGAAAUUGAGUAGAAGCAUUUUUAACAUCAUAACGUUUGCAUUCUACAUGUACCUAAAACCAGCACCACGUGGAUGAUGUCAUAAUUUGCUACUGGCUGGAGCAGUAGCCAGGCUUCCUUCUCUCUUGGCUUUAGGGGUUGAGUGCCUGGAUUGCUGGGCACUCUGAAUCUAAUUCUGAGUAACAAAUUCUCUGUGCUGCCACCAUUCUGGAACAUGGUGCUCUGUGGUUUUCUCUUUAAAGCAAAGUCUUUCACUUUUGCAGUUUUGAGCCUGCAACGGGUGGAGUCUUGCUGCUUCUUGUGAUGCUCUCAGGCCAUUUUUUUAUUCUUCUAAUCCUCAUCUGCAGUUGGGAUCUCCUCAGCUCUAUCUUUGUAAUCCACAGCUUUCCUGGAGUUUCCUUUCUGGCCAAACUCACAAUCUUUUAAAUCAUCUUUUUGGGCUCUCUGCUCUUGAUUUUCAACAUAAAUCUGGCCAAAAAUCCCCAACUGUAGCCAGGUCACCACCUCAACAUUCAACUGCCUUGAAAUUUCUCCUGUCAGAUUAAUUAGUCCACUGCCCUUAAUCUUAGUCUCAAGAAGUUUCUGAACAUGAGCAAAAUGCAGACAACCUUCUGCCAACCAUAACAUACAUCAUCUGGAGACCAGCACCCAAUGCAGUCCUUUCCAGUAGAAACCUCCCAAGCCUGGUCUUUACUUGGCAGGAUUUCUAUCAGCCUUCUGUUCUUCUGAGCUCUGACCAGAAUCUCCUAUACAGAACAGCCUAAGGCUUGCCAGCACUACUCUUUCAGGAAACGUUUCAGAACCUUUCUAAACUCUUCUCACAAGCUAUUCCCAAAGGUUCUUAUACCACAUGGUCUGGUACAGUCAUAGCAACAGCCCCACUCCACUAGUACCAAAUUCUGUCUUGGUUACUUUUCUCUCAUUGCUGAGACAGAAUACCUAACACCCAAAAUUAAGGAAGGAAAAGUUUGUUUAGCUCACAGUUUGUGGGGAUUUCAGUCCCUAAUAAGCUGGUUCCAAGGCAGGUGGCAUGGCAUAGGGACAAUACUUUGAGGAGGCAAAAAACAAAAAAGGGGGAAAAAAAAACCCGAGCCUCUUCUCCUCCCUUAUAUUGUAAGCAGGCUACCAUCCCCCACCCCAAGGCAGGUAUAGCACUUAGACCACCUCUAUGCUGUCCUCUUCACAGGCUGAGGAUGUUUACAAAGUGAGGACCCUGGAUCCUUGCUGAGUCUCUUAAACUUCUAAACUUCUCAAAUUGACACCAUGUAUCAACCGUUAUAAAUACAUAUACAGGAAUUUCUUUUUUUUCUUGUCUUAAAUAAUUGAUGUAUGUUUGACAAAUAAAAAGUGUGUACAUUUGAGUUGUACAGAAUGCUUUGAUAUACAUUAUGAAACAAUGAUUAUAGCCAACCAUCAUCUCCUAUUGCUACCAUUCAUAGGGUUUUCUGUAACCAGAAUUCCAAGUGCUUUGCAUAUAACAACUAAUUUGAUUCCUGCAGUAAUUCUACUUGGAAGGCAUGUUUUUUUUAUUAUUCCCAUAAGAACUCCAUUAGUUAGGCACUAUUAUACCCCUUUCACAAAAAGAACAAAAACGUAAAGAAGUGGACAUUUCCUAAAUCACACAUUUGGUGACUUAGGUAAAUAGAUUCAAACUCAGAUUUGCCUUCUCUGGAUUCACAUCCAGAUCUUGUUCCCUUCACCUUUAAUAUUCAAAUAUGGUCACCCUAAAUGGGUUGGAAGAACCUAGAGAAGGGGGCUGGAGGUUUAGCUCAGUGGCAUAAGCGCCUGCCUUGUAAGCAGGCAGUCAUGAGUUCGAUCCCCGGUACAAAAAAAAAAAAAAAAUAGUUAUUGGGAAAGUGUGUGCAUUCAUUAUUUUGCUUCUGUAAUGAUAUUUGACUUCAGUGAUGUGCCAGUAAUGUGGAUAUCUGGGCUGGGGCAGAGCCUGGCUUGUAGCAUUUGCCCAUGUCCGUAGUGUAAAUAUUCUACUAUGGCAAAUUUCAAGAUUCCAACCAUCUGAUAAAUUGCUGCACAUGAAAUAAUUAUCUCUUGUAAAGUUAGAUUCAGCAAACCAUGGUUUGGACCAAAGUAACAGAUAAUUCUGUACUUUCUGGAAAUCAUAUUGUUUUCUACCAAAAGGAGGGAUCAGAAAUAUGGCAAAUGGUUAGAUUUAAAAUUUUAUUAUAACUACAUGUUCAGUAAAAGACACAUUGACAUUAGCCCCCCUCAAAAUACUUCCCUUUACUUCAAAUACACAUACCCCUCCUUCUUGCUGUUUUCUGAACUGUAUAUGGUGACCCUAUUUCAUGAGUGCCUUUCUGAGGUCUGAUAAAUGCGAUGAAUCCUGCUGUGGCGUGCCAUCCAAAGGAAACACAGGCUUGUAAAACUGUCAUGGUGUGUUCUCAUCUACCUUUUCACCAGUUCUGGCAACAUGAGACUUCUGGCUCUUCCUCAAACUCAAAAUGACCAUGAAAAGCAAAUUGAUUCAGGACAUCAAAGCAACCACAACAGUGCAACUAAAGACACAGAAGAGGCCUUUCAGAACUGCUUCUGAUGAUGGGAUGAAUGUGUUCAAAGGGAAAGAGCAUUAUGAGGGGUCUGAAUAUCAAUGGGUCCUUUACUGUAAUAAUUGUUUUUAUUUAAACACAUACAAUAUUUUUCAAUCACAUCAUGUACAUAGAUAGUUGGCCCUCGUGAGUAGAUGUGAGUUUCAAAGCCACAGAUUCAAUUAACUGCAGAUCAAAAAUAUUUUUAAAAUGUUAUCUGUACUAACCAUGUACAGACUUUUUUUCCACAAUUCAUUGCAAGCAAUCUAACAACUCCUUAAAUAGUAUAUUCAUCUAGAUGUGACAGGGGUGUCCAUUCUGUGGCCCACCAUUUUUUUGUAAUUUUUUCCUGAGUAAAAAGAAAUAGUCUUGAGCUGCAUAUAAAACAGAUAAUUACAUAUACAAGUAGCAAAACUUUCUUUUUAAAAUUUUUACUAUAGUGUUAAAAAAAAAUAGUACAAAAAAACCUGUAAGCCACGGGUUGGACAUGCCUGAGAUACUGCAGGUUAUAUGCAAAUAUUUUAUUAUGUCAUUUAUAUAAAGAAUUGGACCCGUGUAAGGAUUCCUGGAUCCAGCCCCCUAUGAAUACCAAGGAACAAUGACACAUUCAAGGCAGGCUUUGUAUUAGGGUCCUCCCAAGUUUAAAGGCCUUCAGUAGUCCCUGUAUCUUUUUCUGUAGUGACUCCCAAACUUUAUACUUCUACUUUUUGUAUGUAGUGACAAUGAUUUUACAUUUGCUGUUGUGAUUUUAGAAGACAGUUGACACAUCUAUAUAUCCCUUGACCAUCUAAGAAAUCUAACAAUUAUGGGUUGCUUUUUAAGUGAAAUGGCCCUGGGUUGACUGAGUAGGAGGUUUCGUCAGCCUGGAACUUACAUGUUUAUAUGUGCACAUGCACGCACAUAUACACACUCAUUAUCAGUUGCAAACCCUGUAUAAGCCAAAAGCAUGUACAAACACCUGAUGCUUAUCCACUGAGGUACGUACCUGGUCCUAAGGACUUUCCCGUAUUGUAGCUCUAUGUACAAUAUUUUGAGACCCCAACUGUAAUGAAAGGCAACCUAUAGUACAUGGUCACCAUGAGGUCACAAUAUAAAUUCAAAUUUAGCAAAUUAAAUGGCAAUUACUCUUUGAGAAACUAUGUAACUCUAAGGACAAUCACCAUGUUCUAUGUUAUUUAUUUAUUUACUUAUUUUUGGUACCUGGGUUCAAAUUCACCAGGCACUUGUGCCACUGAGCUAAAUCCCCGGCCCUCUAUGUAAUUUUUUUUUUAGACAUUUGGGAGGUGCUAAUUUGUGAAGCACAUAUAACCAAAUGAGUAAUUACACAGCAAGGGGGCUGAAAAGUAAUUGCAAAAUAAUUGCAUGCUAUUUGAUCCAUCCAUGAAAACGUGUUCAAUAGACUAGUCCCCUAAAUGAUUUCUUUUACCUAUGGAACACGUUCAAGCUAUUCUUUUUCCUUAGAUCUGUUUAACACUAAGUCAAACCUGAUUUGAUAAAAUAUACUAAAGUGUAGGCUGUGGUGUAGGUUAAAGAAUUAGCCAAGCAGCUUGUUUUUCUCUACAUUCUGUAAAUGUGAUUAACUUUUAAAAGUUGAUCAUUACAUGCAUUGUCUUUGGAAAAAUACACAGUAGUGUAGGAUUUUUUUGUUCGUUUAAUGUAGGGCUCUUUGUAACAUCUGCUUGUGUUCUCCUGGUUCUCUCUCUCUCUCUCUCUCUCUCUGUCUCUCUCACCUCCUUCCUUCCCCCACUUUUUACAGUCCCCCAUCCUCCCUUUCUUUCUCUUUCCUUCUCCCUAUCCCUCCUUUUUCUCUCUUUCCUGCUUACUUCAUUUCAAGAAUAGAAACUAAUGGAGAGCCAGAGAUAAAACUAAGUAAGUGUAUGUAUGUGUGCAGUGCUGGAGAGAGACCCUUGAGCCAGGCAACAGCACACAUUGGACAAAUCACUUCCCAUCCCUAUGGCAGGCUUAUAAAUUUCAAACUAGGACUGACUUUUGCAAGUAAAACGCACAAAUGCAUAAUUCAUGUGAAUGCACUUUUAAAAGUAUCAAAGUGCUACUUUAAAAUACAAGCACUAAUAUAAUAGUGGCUACUCCUUAAUAUUUCAAGAAAGGAUUCCUUUAAAGUGAUCUACGUGUACCACUGUCUCACACCUUCCAUCCUCACAACCACGGGACCCUCCCUCUCUCUGCUUUCAUCCUCUCUGCAACAAUUUCUUAUUCUAAUCCUGCUUAGCCAACGGUCAAGUGCCAAAAACUGCAAAAAGAUAAGUAUCUGGUAGAAAAAUCGUUAUUUUCCUCUUAACAAGAUAUUGAGUUAAUCUCUGUUUCACUUCCAUCUUUAGGGUUAUCAUUGAAGGAUAUAGCAUAAUCACGGCAUACAGAAUUGGCCUAAGGAUUAAAACCAGCAAGAACUAGACCUUUCCAACACCCCCUGUGCUUUUGCUAUACCUUGGAUGGUGACGAUACGAAGCAUAAUUAUAUCUGCAAGUGAUACUCGAGGUUUUCCAGCUGUUUGUGAAGUUAUCUACUGUGCUUCCAAAGUGUUUUGCCAGGGUGACUCCAAGUGUGGUCACCCUGGUCACCCAGGACAUGGUGUGACCGUGGAGAAUGACGGUCCUAGUGCAGACACAGGCUGACACUGCAUUUCCUUCACUUGGAUCUUUCCUGUCACUGAAGUUUAUGCCUUUGAUAAUUCAAAAUGGAACCAGCCACUUUUCAUUCACUUUAUCACUCAACACACCAGUGUUUCCAUGAUAAGUUAAGUAUUGUUACAACCUCAAAAAUGAUUGCCUGACUAUAAAACAGCAGAAGUAGUCAGCCUCCUUGUGUUAAGAAUACUAUAAUGAGAAAACCAGGAGAGAGCCAAUAAAACCAUGCAGAGUUUGGGUUCACAGGCUGAUAGUAAAUUAAAAGUUAUAUCGAUUUAGUAGAAGAACACAUUUGUGAAGACUAGACUUCUUAACAGAUUUAUGAAUGCCUUCCAGAUGCACAUCAGAUAAAUGAGCAGCCCUUAAGAUACAAGCAUUCAGUUUUGUAAACUUCUUUGACUUGUAAAUAUAGAUGCUACUGAAGAGGGACUUGUAAAUACAAAUACAUUUAAAACUUAAGUUUUAAUUAAGUAGGGUAUGGAUAGCAGGUAAAAAGGUGAAGGCAAUUUAUGUUAAAUAUUCUUUUAAGAAGGGCGAUUAACAAGUUCUCAUUAGAAAUGGUUUUUAAAGCCCACAUUUCCAUGAGUGAGGCCUUCUGGUGUUAUUUAUUUAAGAUGGAAACUUUCUGAAUACUUUAAGUGGCCAAAGAAUUCAGUUAGAAGUUGGAGAUGUGGGAGAUAGGAGGGCCACCUGAUGGAAUCUCAGACAAGACAGGAAAAGAGGCCAACAGCAAAGUGAGAAGUUGGCCUUGAGCCUCCUGUGCCCUCUGAGACAGAGGCAACAGUGGUACAGAUGCAGGAGGGUGCUCAUAGCUCCUGUCUGUCUGCAAUGUUGCAAGCAUACAUUCAUAUGGAAAAGGCAGAGACUGCCAUAUUUCUAGGCAUAGAUACUCUGAUACUUUUGUGUAGUCCAAGAUUUAAUAAGCUUUUUUAGUCAAAGAUCACUUUUCCUUGGGAAAUACUAUAGCACAGGGGUGAAUAAGGUUCAGACCUCAGCCUACCCACUUAUUAUCUGUAGAUCUUUGGUCAAAUUAUUUAGAAUAUGUAGUUUGAUCAGAAAUAAAGUGAGGAUAAUAAUAAUGCAUUCACCUCAGAUGAUUGCUCAGAGAAUGACAUGAGAUAGCUAACGGUACAUAUUCAAGGAAAUGUAAGUAUCAUUUCAAAUGCUCAUAUUAGGCUUGUUGUAAAUUAAGAUUAAUGAAUGUUCUCAUGGGUGUUAUUCAGAGACAUCUUCCUUAUUCUACAAUAUAGAUUUAUCCUGAGAGAUAAGACUGUAAUUUAACUUCCUUGAGUUCUACUGUUUAGAUUUAUUAUUCUAUUCUCCUGAGGUCUUUGUGAGUUCUGAAUUUAUCAUACAAUGUAUUUAUUGUCCACUCCAACAUAUACUACCUGCAAGUCUCAAGAGUCCUGAGACAGCCCCAGCUAGUUGCAUUCCUGACAUCCAUUUUUACCUUCUUUCUUAAUGACAAAGCCUUACUUUGGUUCUAGUAUAACAAUAGACUCAGCUAAAGUGCUCUAUCUCCCAGCAACACUUGCAGCUAGGAGUAGUCACGUGAUACAGUUCUAGCCAAUGUAGUAAAAGCAGAAGUUGCUGGCUAUGCUUGCAGGCAAGUCUAUUAAAGAGGCCAGACCUGUGAGAUUGAAAACCAGAUUCUAAGGAUGCUAGAGAAGAAGGGAAAGUAGCAUGAUACAUAAUGCCUGUGGCAGUCCCUUUUCUGUGUGCCUCUACGAUCCUUGUCAUAAAGUUUAAAACAAUUGUUUAAUGUCAGCUCUGUCACCAGAGUUCUAGUACCUUCACCCAGUACAAUUCCCCCUACUUGCUUUAGAUACCAUCUUUAGUAGCCUCAAAAUAUUUGGAGGCAGAAAAAAGAAACUUAAACAGAACAAAGAUAACAAUAAAACACCCUGGUAUGUGAUUAUAACCAUUCUCCAGAUAAUUGUUUUUGCAUUAAUAUCUUACUUUAUAAAAAUAGACAUGUCAAAAGGCAGUUUUAAUCUGUGUCAGCCUUCCCUUGAUCAUUAGAUCAUAUGGAUUGACACACAGCCUUCCCUUAUUCUGGAUGGAUGCCUCCAAGAUAAAUUUGUAAAACUAAAAGUACUCUUGCAAAAAUCCUCUUUUACAGAUAAGGAAACUGGGGCUCGGGUGCUUCAUUGCAUCUCAGGCAGCUAUUUAUAGAGCUGAGUCAUCCUUAUAUUGUAUUCUACUGCCCCACACUGAAUAAGUCAGACAAGCCUUCCUUUUGUAUUACAUUUUCUCUUCAAGAUCUCAUUUUCUUUAUCCCAAAUUGUAUCAUUAACCUUUUGAGUAACCUUGGGCAUUCGUGAAAGAUUAAAGAAAAUUUUUUUGCUCUUGUACUUUGCUCUGGUACUUUAGCUCUGAGUACAUAAGUACCCUGCUCAGAGUCCCAGAAAAACAGAGGGAGUAGCAAAAGAACACUAACAUGCUUUUGCAACUGUAGUAGCCACAGUGCCAAAAAGGAAACAGGCUGAUAAAGGAUCUAGAUUCCCCCUUUGAUCCAAUCUCCAAACGGGUCAAUUACCCUGACUCCCAUUGUGGCGUUCUUGGUAUGAAUCUCAGUGUGAAAGACCCCGUCCUCUUUGGAAGUGAGAAACAUUUGUAAACGUUUCUUACCACCCUGAUGUAGGACAUAUUGGCAUAAACAUUUCCUUGAUACUGAAAAACUGUCUCCAACUGCUGCAGCUGCUCCGUCCAGGACAGACACAGGGAGAGAUUAGAUAUGGCAUUUGCACCUGGCCAGUCAUAAACUGCUCCUUGGUAGCAUGCAAAGGUUAACAGGCCCAAUUCCCUUUUCUCCUUAGACCCAGAAUGUUGAAACAUGAAAGAGAGCUGUAAUUAUUUAUAAACAAUAAAAGCUUCUGUGGCGUGUA